GAUGGGGUCAACGCUUAUGUGUCCUUCUCGUUAGUGUUCACUAACAAGGCCUACAACGGCAGCACCAUCCAGGUACAAGGUAACAGCAACCAGUUAUUGGCUGUAAGCGAGUACGGUGUGGUGUCCGGAACUGGCAAAUUCCGUUAUGCUACAGGUUAUAUAACCUUCGAAACUCUUUCUUUCGAUCCCUCUACUUUUUAUUCACUUAUCCGUGCCAAUGUUUCAGUCCGUCACGAUUAAUGAUCAAUAUCUUUAGCAAAAACAAAUGAAGUUAGCUUAAUGUAUCCAUUAUUUAUGUAUAAUUUUAUAAAUUCUUGAAGUUAAAUAUUAACUCAUACUAAAUUACCACAAUAGAACCCCGCCCCCCCCCCCCACCAAAAAAAAAAAAAAAGAACUAUGCCUCUCAUACAAAUUUCGUGGGAAUAAUUUGUAAAAAAAAGCAAAUCAUUGUGUGAACAUUCGUUUCAAUACAAUCCAAUCCAAAAAUUUGUUUCGAUAAAUUAUCAAUCUUCUAAAUAUAAUAAAUUACUAUUUUUAUCGCACGAUGAAAUAAACAUUUCCAUUAGCACAUUACGGUCACUUCAAAUCUUUCAACACAUUUCAUGGAAUUGCUUAAACUAAAAUAUGUUAACCUUCUCCAUUCAUACAGUAUGCACCAUUUGUAAGCUAUCAUUUCCCUUCUCUUUUACAAUUUAGUUUUUUUUCCAUAAAACAAUUUUGAACAAUACGAAUCUACGAACCAAUAUCCAACAUUGAUUAUCAGAUUGACUUGGAUUUAAUAUAUGUUCUUCUACUCAUCAAUGGAUACUGAUCCAUUAUAUCGAUCAUUGAAUUGUAGCUUGGAGUUCGUUAGCCACACUUUUUUUUUAAAAAAGAAAAAUUUAACAAUCCAGUAACUUAAAUAAAAACUCUUGAAUAAUUUAGUGACUUAGGCUCUAUUUGUUUCACUGAAAAUGGCUUCCAAAAAAUGAUUUCUGGAAAAUGAAUUACUUUUCUGGAAAAAUUAAUAUUUUUUGGUGUUUGGAUGAAUCUGUGUAAAAUAUUUUUUGUUCUUCGGCAGAUUUCCUAAAAAUAUUUCAAAAAAGUUAUUUUCAAUUAAACAAACAUACAUUUGAGAUUUUCUUUUCUUUCCAUUGUUCAACUGAAUUUAUUUUAUAUCUAUAAUUUUAUAUUUUAUAUUGUUUUUUCAUAUAUUUCAAUGAUUUAUUUAUAAAUAAAUACAUCAAAUUAAAUAUAUAAUAUUACUCAAUUAUUAAGCUAGAAUAUUAAUAGUAAUAAAUUAAAAACAACCUAAGUGAAUAGAUUAUUCUUGAUCGUGUUAUAAAAAAAAUAAAGAUUGAAUCAUAAUAAAUUAGCUUUCAAAAUCACAAUUAGUACUACAUAACAUCAAAUUAAUAAUACUAUCCAAGUGCAUAAUUAGUAGUACACCACAUGACGAUUACAAUAUUUGUUUGAAUAAUAAUAAAUUAGUUGUCGAUUGAGUUUUAGAUCAGUUGGCAUCGGCAUUGUUGCUUAUGUAGGAGGACGUAAGUUCAAGUGUGUAGAAGUGCAUUAUCCUCUUAUUUAAGAGUUGGGGAGGGGCUAUGGGUAGUUUUAUGCACGGUAUCAAAAAAAUAAAUUAGCUUAAAAAAUAGUAGAAUAAAGAUUAAAUAAAAGCUGGUUUAUUAUUAUUCAAUUAGUAGAAUAAAAGGGCUCAAAUCUAUGGUAAAAUCAUAAAACAUGAAGACAAUUAGGGAGAUGCCAUUCUUAGGGCUCCAAAAUUUUAACUUUAAAAUUCGAGUAAGUCAUUGGUUAUUUUCUUGUAAUUUUUAUAGAUUUGAGGUUCUGAGAGCUUGAUUUAGUUAUCUCAUGUACCAAUUUGUAAAACUGUUAAAGUUUUAGAAAGUUCCCAUUCUUGAUUUCUUGAAGUUUUAGGUAUUAAAUUGAUAGAUUUUAAGCUUAGAUGUGAUAAAUGACUAAAUUGUAAAACUUAAUUGAUAGUUUUGUACAUUAGGGGCUAAACUAGAUAAAAUGUAAAAUUGAAUGUAAAAAUAAGAAAUAGGAGGUCCUUAAUGUAUAAUAGUGAAAUCGGAAUUUAACUUGAAGCUUUAAAUCGAAAGUUAUGUUAGUUUUGGUUUUAAGAACUAAAUUGAAUAAAUUAAAAUUUUAUAUAAAUUGAUAGUUGAGUGUUAAUUGGUUGAUUAUUGAUAGUAUUAUAUUCUUUAUGUUAAUCCGUAACUAAUGUCAACUGAACAAUGUCCAAAGACAUUUUAGCAAAUAGAGUCUUGUCUCUAUUUGGAAAAUGUCUUAUCGAAAAAAAUUGGUAAGACAUUUUACAAGAAUAAGGGGAUAACUUUACAUUGACUGAAAUAUAUUUUACAUUAUCCAUCCUAUUUUAAAUGGAGCAAACACCAAAAAUGCUAAAAAAAAAGUUUCUGUAAAAGCUUUUAUGUGAUACAAACAGAGCCUGAAAUGAAAAUUUUUGAAUAAUUCAGUGACCAAUUUAUAAUUUUUUUUGUAGUUGAGUGACUAAAACAUAAAGUUACUAAUAAUUUAGUGACAUUAAAUGUAGUUUACCCUAAUAAUUAAUAUGAUGGAAAAUAAUUUUACAACCCAAACUUCUCAAUUUUAUGUCCAACUUAAAAUGUCAACCAGAGAAAAUAUGGCAGCAUGAAAAAUCAAACACUAACCGAAGUGUUCAACAAGUUUUAUAAUCUUAAUUAAAUUAAUCAUUAAUAUAUUUAAAAAUAUUUUAAUGUCAAUAUUUUAAAAUUAUUUUUUUAAGAAAAAUUAAUUAAAUUAGGGUAUAUUAUUUAUUAAGAUGAUAAAAGUUCAACGUUAGAACUCAAACUGAUUAAAUGCUAAAGUUACAUAUUUUAUGUAAUUAAAUUGGUAUAUUUAUGAGAAUGCACCACUAAUUUUUCCAUAUUUAUUGAAUUUUGUGCAGGAAUGUAAUUUGAGGCUAAAUAGAAGAAAAAGGAAACAAUUGGGCUGAAUUGAAGAAAGAAGCGAAAAAGGAGGGCCAAAGAAGAAUUUUUCCAAGAUUAAUUAGCUGAAAUUUUUGAGUUAGUGGGAGAAUAUUUUGGGAUUUAUUUUAUUUGGGGAUAUUUUUUCCUUAAUUUCCUAUGACUAGUUGGCUCCUAAUUUAGUAAAUCAACUAGUAUAAAUAGAGCUUGUAUUGUUCAUCAUUUAAUCAAUCAAAAAAUAUUUAGCUUUUAUCUCUCAAUUCUCUCCUUCCUACGUAGCCUUUGUUGUUUCUUUAGUUUCAUUUCCUUCAAAUUUUAAUUUCCAGUAGCUAAUCACCAUUUGCAAUUCCUUUUUCAAUUUUUUUUUCAAAUAGUCAACCACUCCACUUUAAUAUAUUCCAACUCCCAUACUCAAUCACAUCACCCACCUUUUUCACCCAUUUACCUUAAUUAAUUUAUCAAAUACCAACAUGUCCCAAACCUUAGCCAACUAAAUCCAUUUUCAGCUUUAGGCCGAAAUUAGCCUCGUCAAAACCCGUGAGUUACGAACCCGAGCCAUUUAACUCCUAAAAUUCCAAUACUUAUUACUUCUCGGGAUUAAGAGUAUGAUUUUGUCAACUCAUAAAGUUAGAUCAAUACUAAGUCAAAAAAGACGUCGUUUGAUUUAGUAUGGUUAGACGUACAGUUGGAAUUCCGAAAGGAACGUUUCUAAUCGGUUUUCUGUGAACACAUUGGCGUGCCAAGUGGAGAUAACUGUUUGGUUCCGUCAAGGGAGGUAGUAACCGAAUUUAAAUGCCCCACGCGGUUGAGGGCACUGGUUCGAGCUAGGCUCUUCUAGAACGCAAAGCUGCCGGAGUUCUAAAUCACGAACGUUUCGUGGUUGUUCGAUCGGUAAGGGUUAGUUAUUGGACGUUCCAUAACUAAUUUACACAAGGAAGAGUUGGUGUCCAAGGCGUCCUUGGUAGCUAUAACUAGCUUAUUGGAAAAGAGGAGUUCAUCCAAUUUCGAGGAUCGGUUCAAAGACGAGGAAAAUUUGCGCCUAAAGCUGAGCUCAUUCUAAUUAAUUUUUCUUAAUAUUUAUUUCACAGUUUUUAUUAUUCUAGUUUUCAACUUUUACUUUUGACGUUAUUUUUCUGUUAAUUUCAGGUUUUCAAAUUUUUAUCCCCCCAAACGUCUUGGGCAAGAUAGCUGCCCCGACAUAAAUCUGGUCAAGCGAGCAACAAUUUACAGUAAACCAGUCUCUGAGGGAUCGACCUUACUCCCUAUACUGGAUAAUUUGUAAACUAAGGCGUAGGUUUAUAUUGGUGGAUUCGACACCCAUCACAAACCAAGCUAAAAUAUUGUAUAUCUAUGCUCUAUAUAUAAAAUACAAUGUGGAAGAAGGUAAAGACUAAGAUGAAGACUUCUGAAUUUAUGGCCAUAUAUCCAAGCAUCGCUUUAGUCACAAUUUUCAGUUUGCAAAUUAAUAAAUUUAAUUAAGACUGUAUAAACUUAUUGAACACUCCGGUUAGUGCUUGGUUUUCAAUGUUGUCGUUUGUAGUUGACAUUUCAACCGAAGGUACGACUUGGACAUAAUGUCGUGUAAUUUGGACAUAUAUAUCGGCUGGCUAGGUUGAAAUGGACAUUUUCCUCAACUUCAUUCUUUUCUCUCUCUUUUUAUCCAUUAUAAGAUGAUGGUCAAAUUAUUUUUGAUCCCUCUACUAUACUC
rnacentral:lncRNA from 1 species